rnacentral:rRNA from 1 species
CUAAGAAUAUUCCGCAAUGGACGAAAGUCUGACGGAGCGACGCCGCGUGGAUGAUGAAGGCCGAAAGGUUGUAAAAUCCUUUUGUUACUGAAGAAUAAGCGGGGGAGGGAAUGCCUCCGUGAUGACGUUAGGUAACGAAUAAGCCCCGGCUAAUUACGUGCCAGCAGCCGCGGUAACACGUAAGGGGCGAGCGUUGUUCGGAAUUAUUGGGCGUAAAGGGCGCGUAGGCGGUUAUGUAAGUCUGGGGUGAAAUCAAUCGGCUUAACCGGUUAAUUGCCUUGGAAACUGGAUGACUAGAGUCAUGGAGGGGUAGUUGGAAUUCCGCGUGUAGGGGUGAAAUCUGUAGAUAUGCGGAAGAACACCGGUGGCGAAGGCGAACUACUAGCCAAUGACUGACGCUGAGACGCGAAAGUGCGGGGAGCAAACAGGAUUAGAUACCCUGGUAGUCCGCACUAUAAACGAUGUGCACUAGGUGUUGGGCCAUGCGGCUCAGUGCCGAAGCGAACGUGAUAAGUGCACCGCCUGGGGAGUAUGCCCGCAAGGGUGAAACUCAAAGGAAUUGACGGGGGCCCGCACAAGCGGUGGAGCAUGUGGUUUAAUUCGAUGAUACGCGAGGAACCUUACCUGGGUUUGACAUGGUAGUGAAUGGUGCAGAGAUGUAUCAGUCCCGCAAGGGACGCUAU